rnacentral:rRNA from 1 species
CCUACGGGUGGCAGCAGUGGGGAAUAUUCCGCAAUGGACGCAAGUCUGACGCAGCAACGCCGCGUGAAUGAAGAAGGCUUUCGGGUUGUAAACUUCUGUUAAGGGGGAAGAGCAGAAGACGGUACCACUUGAAUAAGCCACGGCUAACUACGUGACAGCAGCCGCGGUAAUACGUAGGUGGCAAGCGUUGUCCGGAUUUACUGGGUGUAAAGGGCGUGCAGCCGGGAGGACAAGUCAGAUGUGAAAUCCCGCGGCUCAACCGCGGAACUGCAUUUGAAACUGUUUUUCUUGAGUAUCGGAGAGGUAAGCGGAAUUCCUAGUGUAGCGGUGAAAUGCGUAGAUAUAAGGAGGAACACCAGUGGCGAAGGCGGAUUACUGGACGGCAACUGACGGUGAGGCGCGAAAGCGUGGGGAGCAAACAGGAUUAGAUACCCCGGUAGUC